UAAUGCCUAUGAAUCUGCCCGAUAGUGGGGGACACGUUUCCAAAGGAACGCUAAUACCGCAUACGUCCUAUGGGAGAAAGUGGGGGCUCUUCUGACCUCACGCUAUCGGAUGAGCCUAUGUCUGAUUAUCUAUUUGGUGGGGUAAAGGCUCACCAAGGCGACGAUCCGUAACUGGUCUGAGAGGAUGAUCACUCACACUGGGACUGAGACACGGUCCACACUCCUACGGGAGGCAGCAGUGGGGAAUUUUGGACAAUGGGCGAAAGCCUGAUCCCCCCAUGCCGCGUGUGUGAAGAAGGUCUUCGGAUUGUAAAGCACUUUUUACUGGGAGGAAGGGCUGUAAGCGAAUACCUUGCAGUUUUGACGUUACCGACAGAAUAAGCACCGGCUAACUUCGUGCCACCAGCCGCGGUAAUACGAAGGGUGCAAGCGUUAAUCUGAAUUACUGGGCGUAAAGCGCGCGUAUGUGGUUUGGUAAGAUGGAUGUGAAAUCCCCGGGCUCAACCUGGGAAU
rnacentral:rRNA from 1 species